rnacentral:rRNA from 1 species
GGUGUGUACUGGUCUUGAUGGAAGCCUACCUCUUGGUGGGUCGGCAUGCCCUUCGUUGGGUGUGUCGAUUAACCAGGACUUUUACUUUGAGAAAAUUAGAGUGUUCAAAGCAGGCUUUCGCCCGAAUACAUUAGCAUGGAAUAAUAGAAUAGGACGCGCGUCUUUAUUUUGUUGGUUUCUAAAUUCGCCGUAAUGAUUAAUAGGGAUAGUCGGGGGCAUUCGUAUUGCUUGGUCAGAGGUGAAAUUCUUGGAUUCUAGCAAGACGAACUACUGCGAAAGCAUUUGCCAAGGAUGUUUUCAUUGAUCAAGAACGAAGGUUAGGGGAUCGAAAACGAUCAGAUACCGUUGUAGUCUUAACAGUAAACUAUGCCGACUAGGGAUCGGACAAGCACAAUCUAUGACUUGUUCGGCACCUGAAGAGAAAUCUUUAAGUCUAGGUUCGGGGGGGAGUAUGGUCGCAAGGCUGAAACUUAAAGGAAUUGACGGAAGGGCACCACCAGGUGUGGAGCCUGCGGCUUAAUUUGACUCAACACGGGGAAACUCACCAGGUCCAGACACAAUAAGGAUUGACAGAUUGAUAGCUCUUUCUUGAUCUUGUGGUUGGUGGUGCAUGGCCGUUCUUAGUUGGUGGAGUGAUUUGUCUGGUUAAUUCCGAUAACGAACGAGACCUUAACCUGCUAAAUAGACCCGGGGCCUUAGGGAACCGGCUGUCUUCUUAGAGGGACUGUAGG